GACGAACGCUGGCAGCGCGCCUAACACAUGCAAGUCGAACGGAGCUGAGAGAAGCUUGCUUUUCUUAGCUUAGUGGCGAACGGGUGAGUAACGCGUGAGUAACCUGCCCUGGAGUGGGGGACAACAGUUGGAAACGACUGCUAAUACCGCAUAAGCCCACGAUCCGGCAUCGGAUUGAGGGAAAAGGAUUUAUUCGCUUCAGGAUGGACUCGCGUCCAAUUAGCUAGUUGGUGAGGUAACGGCCCACCAAGGCGACGAUUGGUAGCCGGACUGAGAGGUUGAACGGCCACAUUGGGACUGAGACACGGCCCAGACUCCUACGGGAGGCAGCAGUGGGGGAUAUUGCACAAUGGGGGAAACCCUGAUGCAGCGACGCCGCGUGGAGGAAGAAGGUUUUCGGAUUGUAAACUCCUGUCGUGAGGGACGAUAAUGACGGUACCUAACAAGAAAGCACCGGCUAACUACGUG
rnacentral:rRNA from 1 species